GAUUCAGGUGUGAUCGGUGGUGUGGUGGUGAGUGUAAUAUUGCUGAUAGCUGUGGUUUUACUCUUCGUGUACAGACACAAACUUCCCUGGAUACAAGGCUCAUCAGAUUGGAAAACCAAUUCUGGAGACAAUACAGAGGAAGUUCAGGGGAAUCGUUGUGAGGAACUCCAGGAAAAGACGACCCAGGCAGGAAAUGUAGUGUCCUCUGUUUAUGCCACUGUCAACCCUCCUCCAGAUCUGAUACACUACGCCAGCGUCAACUUCCAGAACGACUCUGCUGUGGUCUUGACAGGGUUGGAAACACCAUCUAAGCCAGAAAUAAACACCUCAACUGAAUACUCCUCUGUCCGUAAGAAUGCUGGUCCACUGGCACCAGAGACGACUCUUUAUUCUACAGUCACAAAAUCUGGAGAACCAUGAAAGAAGCAAAAAUCAACGAUGCAGAGUAAACACUGUUUAUAUACCAAGAAUAUUACAAGUGUUUCUCUGCAUUUAGUUUAGAUAGUUUAGUGAGAUUUGUAAUAACAUACCUCAUUGUCUAGGACAAUAUAUAUUGCUUUACAAGCUAGUUAGUGCAUGUAGUGUAGUUUGUCAGUGAACACCAGCUAUAGGUGUAAAUAUUAACAAAUGUUUGUAUGUUGAAUAAAAAAAAAUGAGAGUUCUGCUCACUCACUGAAAAGUCACUGAGAAUAUGUAUAGCACACAGCUACAUGUAUAAGACGUAGAGAAACAAAAGUCUGUACAUAAACAUAUAAAAUAAGGCUUCUGUUUUUUCAGAUAUUCUGUAAUGACGCAAAAAUUAUGAAUUUUUCUGGUUGUCAAUAUGAUCCUCCUUUUUACCGAGGAGAAACAAUAAUUAACAUACUAAUGACCCAAAGAGUGCAUAAUUUACGUGGCUGAAACAGUGUCUAUUGGUUUUUUGUAGAUACAACAGGCAUUUCUGUUUAUUGACACUAUACAGCAUCUUAGUUGAUGGAUCAUUGUUAAGUUGGCAAUUAUUCACAUAGUAGCAUAUGUUUAUGUGUGUAUAUAAAAUGCCCUAAUGCUAAGUGAAUAAUCUGUCAGUACUGCAGUACUGGCUGAUCUGAACCGUCCCUGUUGUGUAAAUGCAUGUAGUUAUCGUCAGGAUGCAGAUACAUUAACAGAUUCAAACCACCUCUGAAAAUCAUUUAUUCCUGCUCAGUCAGUCUUGUAUGUAGGCUGGUAUCAGUUGUUGUUGGUCAGUUGCUGUUUGGAUGUCUGUUUAUUAUUGCUGGCUGUAAAUGAAAUUGCCCCCCAGGGUUAAUAAAGAUUGCUUGUACUUAAUACUAUGAUUUUAGACUUAAACGUUCUGUCUGUCUGUUUGUUUGUUUGUUUGUUUGUUUGUUUGUUUGUUUGUUUGUUUGUUUGUUUAAUCAAAUACAAUAAAGUAUGUUUACA
rnacentral:lncRNA from 1 species